UUAUCAGACUUGUUACAAGAUUGUUCUAACAAGUCUGAUGCAGUCAUGAUGUAGCAAGAAUGUUACAAGGUUGAUGACACAAGGUUGUAACAAUAUUGUUGUAUCAUGACUGAAUCGGACUUGUUGGAACAAUGCAUCAUGCAACCAGUCUGAUAA